rnacentral:rRNA from 1 species
GUGCCAGCCGCCGCGGUAAUACCGGCAGCCCGAGUGAUGGCCGAUCUUAUUGGGCCUAAAGCGUCCGUAGCUGGCCGCGCAAGUCCAUCGGAAAAUCCACCCGCCCAACGGGUGGGCGUCCGGUGGAAACUGCGUGGCUUGGGACCGGAAGGCGCGACGGGUACGUCCGGGGUAGGAGUGAAAUCCCGUAAUCCUGGACGGACCGCCGAUGGCGAAAGCACGUCGCGAAGACGGAUCCGACAGUGAGGGGCGAAAGCUAGGGUCUCGAACCGGAUUAGAUACCCGAGUAGUCC